AUUACACGACCGUACCGCAAACCGACACUGGUGCGCGAGAUGAGUUUUCUAAGGCGCUUGAGAGAACUCAGGAGAAGGAACUCGGCAAAUUGACACCGUAACUUCGGAAGAAGGUGUGCCUCUAGUAGGUGAAGGGAUUUACUCCUGGGGCCCAAUGAGGUUGCAAAAAAUCGGUGGCUGCGACUGUUUAAUAAAAACACAGCACUCUGCAAACACGAAAGUGGACGUAUAGGGUGUGACGCCUGCCCGGUGCUGGAAGAUUAAAUGAUGGGGUGCAAGCUCUUGAUUGAAGUCCCAGUAAACGGCGGCCGUAACUAUAACGGUCCUAAGGUAGCGAAAUUCCUUGUCGGGUAAGUUCCGACCUGCACGAAUGGCGUAACGAUGGCCACACUGUCUCCUCCUGAGACUCAGCGAAGUUGAAAUGUUUGUGAUGAUGCAAUCUCCCCGCGGAAAGACGGAAAGACCCCAUGAACCUUUACUGUAGCUUUGUAUUGGACUUUGAACAGAUCUGUGUAGGAUAGGUGGGAGGCUUUGAAGUGUGGUCGCUAGAUCGCAUGGAGCCAACGUUGAAAUACCACCCUGGUGUGUUUGAGGUUCUAACCUAGGUCCAUUAUCUGGAUCGGGGACAGUGCAUGGUAGGCAGUUUGACUGGGGCGGUCUCCUCCCAAAGCGUAACGGAGGAGUUCGAAGGUACGCUAGGUACGGUCGGACAUCGUGCUAAUAGUGCAAUGGCAUAAGCGUGCUUAACUGCGAGACUGACAAGUCGAGCAGAUGCGAAAGCAGGACAUAGUGAUCCGGUGGUUCUGUAUGGAAGGGCCAUCGCUCAACGGAUAAAAGGUACUCUGGGGAUAACAGGCUGAUACCGCCCAAGAGUUCAUAUCGACGGCGGUGUUUGGCACCUCGAUGUCGGCUCAUCUCAUCCUGGGGCUGUAGCCGGUCCCAAGGGUAUGGCUGUUCGCCAUUUAAAGAGGUACGUGAGCUGGGUUUAAAACGUCGUGAGACAGUUUGGUCCCUAUCUUCCGUGGGCGCUGCAGAUUUGAGGAAGCCUGCUCCUAGUACGAGAGGACCGGAGUGGACACACCUCUGGUGUAUCGGUUGUCACGCCAGUGGCAUUGCCGAGUAGCUAUGUGUGGAAGAGAUAACCGCUGAAAGCAUCUAAGCGGGAAACUCGUUUCAAGAUGAGAUCUGCCGGGGCCUUGAGCCCCCUAAAGAGUCGUUCAAGACCAGGACGUUGAUAGGUCAGGUGUGGAAGCGCAGUAAUGCGUUAAGCUAACUGAUACUAAUUGCUCGUGCGGCUUGACCC
rnacentral:rRNA from 1 species